GGGCGACUAGCUCAGUUGGUUAGAGCGCGUCACUGAUAAUGACGAGGUCGGAAGUUCGAAUCUUCCGUCGCCCACGA
rnacentral:tRNA from 1 species